GAUGAACGCUGGCGGCGUGCCUAAUACAUGCAAGUCGAGCGAACAGACGAGGAGCUUGCUCCUCUGACGUUAGCGGCGGACGGGUGAGUAACACGUGGAUAACCUACCUAUAAGACUGGGAUAACUUCGGGAAACCGGAGCUAAUACCGGAUAACAUGUUGAACCGCAUGGUUCAACAGUGAAAGACGGUCUUGCUGUCACUUAUAGAUGGAUCCGCGCCGCAUUAGCUAGUUGGUAAGGUAACGGCUUACCAAGGCAACGAUGCGUAGCCGACCUGAGAGGGUGAUCGGCCACACUGGAACUGAAACACGGUCCAGACUCCUACGGGAGGCAGCAGUAGGGAAUCUUCCGCAAUGGGCGAAAGCCUGACGGAGCAACGCCGCGUGAGUGAAGAAGGUCUUCGGAUCGUAAAACUCUGUUAUUAGGGAAGAACAAAUGUGUAAGUAACUGUGCACGUCUUGACGGUACCUAAUCAGAAAGCCACGGCUAACUACGUG
rnacentral:rRNA from 1 species